AUUUCCCUACCGAUCUUAGACUGUAUGACACUGGAGAUAGUGUUGUUUAAGCCUGGAGGUUCUACUAAUAUUGUGUUUUAGUUAGCUAUUUAUAAAAAAAAAGAAAAAAAAGAAAGAGAUCUGAGUAGACGAUUCCUCAGCACAUCGACCGAUGAGACCAGCUAUAUAUCGAUUGACGGCACUUCAGAUCCAACGAUCGAUUGUCCCUUCAUUGUGUCUAUUGAUUUCUCUAGCCAUCGACCGAUGAGACCAUGUUGACAUGAAUCGACAACACUUCAUCAACAACGAUCG
rnacentral:lncRNA from 1 species